rnacentral:lncRNA from 1 species
AACUUAACAACUAUCUGUUUAAGGCCAAAGGACUGAGAACCUGAGGGGGGGGCUGGUGGUGCAAUUCCCAGAGUUGAGGGGCCAGAAAAUCUGGAGUUCUGAUGUCCAACGACAGAAGGAAAAGGGUGUCCCAGCGUCAAUAGAGAGAGAAGUCUCCUUUUCUCUGCCUUUUUAUUCUAUCUGGGCCCUCAGUCAAUUGGAUGAUGCCUGCACACAAUAGGGUCUCACUCUCUCGCCCAGACUACUACAGUGGCGCGAUCUCGGCUCACUGCAACCUCCACCUCCCAGGCUCAAGUGAUUCUCCUGCCUCAGCUUCCUGAGUAGGUGGGAUUACAGUGCCUGUUGUUACUUCAUUCAGAAGUCUGAAAUUUGAUAUGCUUUCCUAAGAAAUAGUCCCAACUAAUGUCCUAAGGAAACUAGCGAAAACUCCAUUCAUCUAAGAAAGCAGUGGAAAUAGAUUAGAAACUUACACAUUGCAAGUCAGAUAUCCUCACUGAUACCCAAGAGCAAAAUGUACAGAGCUCAGUGGGGAAGAGGGUACAGAAGAAGGAGGAUCAAUCUAUCUGGCAGAAGAGAAUGGGAAAAGCUUCCUGGAAGAUGUGACCCUUCACACAGAACAAAGGCUACACCUAUGCCUCUGCAAGCCCCAAUUUUUAUAAAUUCAUCCAUUCUGUAAACAGGCUAUAUUUCAUCUGAAGAGCCUAUAGAAUAACUUAACUGUAAAUCAGUUAAGAUUCCAAAUCCAUGCGAUUCCAAAUUGAAGAAAGGACUCAGGAACCACCAAUUGG